rnacentral:rRNA from 1 species
GGGCCCGCACAAGCGGUGGAGCAUGUGGUUUAAUUCGAUGCAACGCGAAGAACCUUACCUACUCUUGACAUCCAGAGAACUUUUCAGAGAUGAAUUGGUGCCUUCGGGAACUCUGAGACAGGUGCUGCAUGGCUGUCGUCAGCUCGUGUUGUGAAAUGUUGGGUUAAGUCCCGCAACGAGCGCAACCCUUAUCCUUGUUUGCCAGCGAGUAAUGUCGGGAACUCCAGGGAGACUGCCGGUGAUAAACCGGAGGAAGGUGGGGACGACGUCAAGUCAUCAUGGCCCUUACGAGUAGGGCUACACACGUGCUACAAUGGCGCAUACAGAGGGCGGCCAACUUGCGAGAGUGAGCGAAUCCCAAAAAGUGCGUCGUAGUCCGGAUUGGAGUCUGCAACUCGACUCCAUGAAGUCGGAAUCGCUAGUAAUCG